GACGAACGCUGGCGGCGUGCCUAAUACAUGCAAGUAGAACGCAGUUGCGAACGGGUGAGUAACACGUAGGUAACUUCCUCAUAGCGGGGGAUAACUAUUUGAAACGAUAGCUAAUACCGCAUACUGUUAGAUGGACCUGCUUUGUAUUAGCUAGUUGGAGGGGUAAAGGCUCACCAAGGCGACGAUACAUAGCCGGCCUGGGAGGGGUGACCGGCAAACUGGGAAUGAGACACGGGCCAGACCCCUAAGGGGGGCAGCCGUAGGGGAAUUUUGGAAAUGGGCGGAAGUCUGACCGAGCAACUGCGCGGGAGUGAAGAAGGUUUUCGGAUCGUAAAGCUAUGUUGUUAGAGAAGCGGUAACUACCCAGAAAGGGACGGCUAACUACGUGCCAGCAGCCGCGGUAAUUC
rnacentral:rRNA from 1 species